CAACUUUUUCCUCUGAGAUGGAUCAGCUCCUUAACAGCCUGGAUCAAGAGACGUCUGACAUCACUGCACACUGAAAAACUGCAGCAUUGAAGGGCCUUACCUUGUAUCUCCGUGACAGUCAGAAGAAGUGCAGAUAUAAGGAGGACAAAGGACUUGGAGCGGGUGGAAGCAGAGCCCACUAGGCGCCGUGGGGAGGCUGAGCCCAGCGGGAAUCGGGGAGCAGAGGCAUCAAAUGCACUGGGGAAACCUACUGUCAGCGGGGCAGUGAGAAGCCGGCGGUGACGUGGCAAUCAACGCGGAGAUCCGAGCAAUCAAUGCUUGCUAAGUAUUCCCUAAAGGGACUUGUGUUGGCCUAGCAUCUGGGCGUGAAGUUGGUUUUGGUGAUGCGACUGAUUGAGCUAAUUUCUUCAACUUAUUUCCCACAGCUGCCAGGGCUGUGCGAGGGAUGGCAGAGGAUACGAGACAGCCUACAAUGGACAGUGCCGAGGACAUGGGGGGUUGAUCCCUGUGCUGCCAUGGUGCUGGAGAGCGGAGCAGUGGAGUCGGCGCCGUGGGGAAAUCCCCUGCAGACUGUGAUGUCAUCCUGGGGACUCCAUGGAGGGAGCGGAGUAGGACCAGAGUGGGACUCCCUG